rnacentral:rRNA from 1 species
AUUGAACGCUGGCGGCAUGCCUUACACACGCAAGUCGAACGGCAGCACGGGUGCUUGCACCUGGUGGCGAGUGGCGAACGGGUGAGUAAUACAUCGGAACGUACCUUAUCGUGGGGGAUAACGCAGCGAAAGCUGUGCUAAUACCGCAUACGCCCUGAGGGGGAUAGCGGGGGAUCGAAAGACCUCGCGCGAUUAGAGCGGCCGAUGCCUGAUUAGCUUGUUGGUGGGGUAAAAGCCCACCAAGGCGACGAUCAGUAGCUGGUCUGAGAGGACGCUGAGCCACACUGUGACUGAGACACGGCCCCGACUCCUACGUGAGGCGGCAGUGGGGAAUUUUGGACAAUGGGGGCAACCCUGAUCCAGCAAUGCCGCGUGAGUGAAGAAGGCCUUCGGGUUGUAAAGCUCUUUUGUCAGGGAAGAAACACCGGCUCUAACACAGUCCGGGAAUGACGGUACCUGAAGAAUAAGCACCGGCUAACUACGUGCCAGCCGCCGCAGUAA